rnacentral:rRNA from 1 species
AGAGUUUGAUCAUGGCUCAGAACGAACGCUGGCGGCAUGCCUAACACAUGCAAGUCGAACGGGAUCCUAGCUUGCUAGGUGAGAGUGGCGGACGGGUGAGUAACACGUGGGAAUCUGCCUUUUGGUUCGGGAUAACCGCGGGAAACUGCGGCUAAUACCGAAUGCCCUCGUGAGAGGAAAGAUUUAUCGCCAGAAGAGGAGCCCGCGUCCGAUUAGGUAGUUGGUGGGGUAAAGGCCUACCAAGCCGACGAUCGGUAGCUGGUCUGAGAGGAUGAUCAGCCACACUGGGACUGAGAUACGGCCCAGACUCCUACGGGAGGCAGCAGUGGGGAAUAUUGGACAAUGGGGGCAACCCUGAUCCAGCAAUGCCGCGUGAGUGAUGAAGGCCUUAGGGUUGUAAAGCUCUUUUGCCAGGGAAGAUGAUGACUGUACCUGGAGAAUAAGCCCCGGCUAACUUCGUG